UACGUAGGGACCAAGCGUUGUUCGGAUUUACUGGGCGUAAAGGGCGCGUAGGCGGCGCGGUAAGUUACUUGUGAAAUCUCUGAGCUUAACUCAGAACGGCCAAGUGAUACUGCAGUGCUAGAGUGUGGAAGGGGCAAUCGGAAUUCUUGGUGUAGCGGUGAAAUGCGUAGAUAUCAAGAGGAACACCUGAGGUGAAGACGGGUUGCUGGGCCAACACUGACGCUGAUGCGCGAAAGCCAGGGGAGCAAACGGG
rnacentral:rRNA from 1 species